GGCCUACAGGAGGCAGCAGUAGGGAAUCUUCCACAAUGGGCGAAAGCCUGAUGGAGCAACGCCGCGUGGGUGAAGAAGGUCUUCGGAUCGUAAAACCCUGUUGUUAGAGAAGAAAGUGCGUGAGAGUAACUGUUCACGUUUCGACGGUAUCUAACCGGAAAGCCACGGCUAACUACGUGCCAGCAGCCGCGGUAAUACGUAGGGAGCAAGCGUUAUCCGGAUUUAUUGGGUGUAAAGGGUGCGUAGACGGGUAUACAAGUUAGUAGUGAAAUCCCUCGGCUUAACUGAGGAACUGCUACUAAAAC
rnacentral:rRNA from 1 species